GGACGAACGCUGGCGGCGUGCCUAACACAUGCAAGUCGAGCGAGGAGAUCCUUCGGGAUGAUCCUAGCGGCGGACGGGUGAGUAACACGUGGGCAACCUGCCUCAUAGAGAGGAAUAGCCUUCCGAAAGGGAGAUUAAUACCUCAUAACAUUGCAGUUUCGCAUGGAACAGCAAUUAAAGGAGCAAUCCGCUAUGAGAUGGGCCCGCGGCGCAUUAGCUAGUUGGUGAGGUAACGGCUCACCAAGGCGACGAUGCGUAGCCGACCUGAGAGGGUGAUCGGCCACAUUGGGACUGAGACACGGCCCAGACUCCUACGGGAGGCAGCAGUGGGGAAUAUUGCACAAUGGGGGAAACCCUGAUGCAGCCAACGCCGCGUGAGUGAUGACGGCCUUCGGGUUGUAAAGCUCUGUCUUCAGGGACGAUAAUGACGGUACCUGAGGAGGAAGCCACGGCUAACUACGUGCCAGCAGCAGC
rnacentral:rRNA from 1 species